GGAGGCGUUUUGUGAAAUUCUCCACAGCAGCACUGCCGGACUUUGCCCACGUUUUCUGGCCAAUCAGGUGGUUCUUUUACUCUGAUUUGGCCAUGGGUGUGUUUAAAAUUAAAUUUUGAGUAAAGGAGAAAAUUUUAACCUCUUUUGGCAGUCAGAAAGGGCUUCGGCACGGCGUUGCGUGGCGGCGGUCUCCUUUCCGGCGGCUGGGUCUUCUUAUCCGGCGAGGGGGUCUGGCGGCUAGGGUUAGGGUUUGGUGUGGAUGGAGGUUAUUCAUAUCUGUCCGCUUCUUAUCUGGGCUAUCCAUCACGUUUGAUCUGGAUCGUCUGAUCGCGAUCUAAUCUGGAUCGUUCAUCACGAUCUAAUCUGGAUCGUCCGAUCGCAUUCAAAUUUGACCGUCCGAUCGCGUUUGGGGAGGGAACGCAUCUGGGCCAUUUGUGCGCGCAAGAACGGAUUUGAGCCAUUCGAUCGCAGGCACGCGGAUCGCCCGUAUGGCAUUGCGUCAGUG
rnacentral:lncRNA from 1 species